rnacentral:rRNA from 1 species
UACGUAGGGUGCAAGCGUUAAUCGGAAUUACUGGGCGUAAAGCGUGCGCAGGCGGCUUUGCAAGUCAGAUGUGAAAUCCCCGGGCUUAACCUGGGAACUGCAUUUGUGACUGCAUGGCUAGAGUGCGGCAGAGGGGGAUGGAAUUCCGCGUGUAGCAGUGAAAUGCGUAGAUAUCUGGAGGAACACCGGUGGCGAAGGCGGCAUCCUGGACCGACACUGACGCUGAGGCGCGAAAGCUAGGGGAGCAAACGGG